AGAGGAGGCAUCCAAAGGGAUCGCAUUGAUCCUAAGCUAGCAAAGCCUUCUUGAUCAUAUCGCGCGAUCCCUAAAUAGUUUCGGAUCAUGCUAUCCCUUUGGAUUUCUCCUU
rnacentral:pre_miRNA from 1 species